ensembl:ncRNA C05B10.16 ncRNA
UUGGCAUAAACUCACAAGGUGCUUGGUUUUUGAAAAAGAAUAAUACACAAUUUUUUAUUUGUAAAAAUUACCAAAAGUUCAACAAUAAUAUAUCGUGAAGUUUGGCAGGCAGUCGUAGGCACCUUGUAGGCGAA